rnacentral:rRNA from 1 species
GCAAGCGUUGUCCGGAUUUAUUGGGCGUAAAGAGCUCGUAGGCGGCCUGUCGCGUCAACCGUGAAAUCCCGUGGCUUAACUGCGGGCGUGCGGUUGAUACGGGUGGGCUAGAGUUCGGUAGGGGAGACUGGAAUUCCUGGUGUAGCGGUGAAAUGCGCAGAUAUCAGGAGGAACACCGGUGGCGAAGGCGGGUCUCUGGGCCGAUACUGACGCUGAGGAGCGAAAGCGUGGGGAGCGAACAGGAUUAGAUACCCUGGUAGUCCACGCCGUAAACGUUGGGCGCUAGGUGUGGGGGACCUUCCCGNUCUUCUGUGCCGUAGCUAACGCA